GUUAAAACACCGGUCCCCGUACGAUCACCGAAGUUAAGCAAUGGUGAACUUGGUCAAUACCUAGAUGGGUGAACACUUGAGAAUACUAAGUGUUUCA